rnacentral:tRNA from 1 species
ACCUAGAUAGCUUAUGGUUAAGAGCAUAACAUUGAAGAUGUUAAGGAAAUAGUAAUUAUUUUUAGGUA